rnacentral:rRNA from 1 species
GGUUUACCUGUGUGACUGCGUACCUUUUGUAUAAUGGGUCAGCGACUUAUAUUCUGUAGCAAGGUUAACCGUAUAGGGGAGCCGGAGGGAAACCGAGUCUUAACCGGGCGUUAAGUUGCAGGGUAUAGACCCGAAACCCGGUGAUCUAGCCAUGGGCAGGUUGAAGGUUGGGUAACACUAACUGGAGGACCGAACCGACUAAUGUUGAAAAAUUAGCGGAUGACCUGUGGCUGGGGGUGAAAGGCCAAUCAAACCGGGAGAUAGCUGGUUCUCCCCGAAAGCUAUUUAGGUAGCGCCUCGUGAAUUCAUCUCCGGGGGUAGAGCACUGUUUCGGCUAGGGGGCCAUCCCGGCUUACCAACCCGAUGCAAACUGCGAAUACCGGAGAAUGUUAUCACGGGAGACACACGGCGGGUGCUAACGUCCGUCGUGAAGAGGGAAACAACCCAGACCGCCAGCUAAGGUCCCAAAGUCAUGGUUAAGUGGGAAACGAUGUGGGAAGGCCCAGACAGCCAGGAUGUUGGCUUAGAAGCAGCCAUCAUUUAAAGAAAGCGUAAUAGCUCACUGGUCGAGUCGGCCUGCGCGGAAGAUGUAACGGGGCUAAACCAUGCACCGAAGCUGCGGCAGCGAACGUAUCACUUAAAGCGAUUCAGCGGGUUACGAUUGACGGAGCGAAGCG